rnacentral:lncRNA from 1 species
AGAAGAUGAAGAACGAGAUGGCCAUGACAGUAAAUAGCUCCACUGAGGAGAUGAAAAGAGAGACAACUACAAUAAAGAGCUCAGCGGAGAAGAUGAACAAAGAGACAGCCUUGAAAAUAAAUAACUCAGCUGAGAAGAUGAAGAAAGAAACAUCAUUAAAUAGCUCAGCUGAGAAGAUGAGACAAGAGACAGCUACAGAAAAUGGUUCAGCUGAAAAGAUGAAGAAAGAGACAGCCUUGACAGUAAAUAUCUCAGCUGAAAAGAUGAACAAAGAGACAGCCUUGACAAUAAAUAACUCAGCUGAGAAGAUGAAGAAAGAGAUGGCCAGGACAGUGAAUAGCUCAGCUGAGAAGAUGAGACAAGAGACAGCUACAGUUAAUGGCUCGGCUGAGAAGAUGAAGAAAGAGACGGCCUUGACAGUAAAGAGCUCGAACGAGAAGGUGAAGAAAGAAACAGCCUUGACAGUAAAUAACUCAGCUGAGAAGGUUAAGAAAGAGAUCGCUUCACAAGUGAAUGGCUCAGCUGAGAAGAU